rnacentral:lncRNA from 1 species
AUGAAAGAGAGCAGACACUGAACCAACUUCUUACUGAAAUGGAUGGUUUUACUGGAAACACUGGAGUCAUUGUCAUUGCUGCUACUAAUAGGCCUGAAAUUCUUGAUCAAGCUUUGCUUAGACCUGGAAGGUUUGAUAGACAGGUAAGAAAUGAGUUAUUUCAAUGUAAAAUUCCCCAAAAGAUCACAGUUUCCAGGAUACACUUCACUAAUAUUGAUAUUACAUUUAUAUUGUAAUUCAAUAGGUAACUGUUGGACUGCCUGAUAUAAGAGGAAGAGAAGAAAUAUUGAAGGUUCACAGUAACAACAAGAAGCUUGACAAAGAUGUGUCUCUAAGUGUUAUUGCAAUGAGAACACCAGGAUUCAGUGGUGCAGAUCUUGCAAACCUGAUGAAUGAAGCUGCCAUUCUAGCUGGAAGGAGAGGAAAAGAUAAGAUUACCUCAAAAGAGAUAGAUGAUUCAAUCGAUAGAAUUGUCGCUGGAAUGGAAGGAACUACAAUGACAGAUGGAAAGAACAAGAUUCUGGUAGCAUACCAUGAGGUUGGACAUGCUGUCUGCGCGUAAGUCAGCAAUUAUUUCUUGCCCCUUUAAUUGUUCUGUGGUUUGUU